GCCCUCGUGGCGAAGCGGAUUAACGCGCUUCCCUCCGGAGGAAGAGAUCGCAGGUUCGAUCCCUGCCGAGGGCG